UACGGAGGGGGCGAGCGUUAUUCGGAAUCAUUGGGCGUAAAGGGCGCGUAGGCGGCUUCGUAAGUCUUGGGUGAAAGCCCUCGGCUCAACCGAGGAAUUGCCUUGGAUACUGCGAAGCUCGAGGCCGGAAGAGGACAGUGGAAUUCCCGGUGUAGCGGUGAAAUGCGUAGAUAUCAGGAGGAACACCGAUGGCGAAGGCAGGUCUCUGGGCUGACACUGACGCUCAUGCACGAAAGCGUGGGGAGCAAACAGG
rnacentral:rRNA from 1 species